rnacentral:snoRNA from 14 species
AAUCAAUGAUGAAAAGCUAGCCAAAUCUGAGCAAUUGGAUCUGAGCUGGAUCUUCCUCAGCCUGUGA